rnacentral:lncRNA from 1 species
GUGAGAAGACGGAGGAAGAGGCCCUGGCUGGGGCAAAUGAGGAGGAGGUGGGGCCGGGAACUGAGAAGGUGCAGGAGGAGGCUGCCUGCAUUGACGAGGCAGAGGAGGAGGCAGGCCCAUCCCUUGAAAAUGACGAGGAGUCCCCAGCCAGCGACCUGGUUGAGCAGGAAGACCAGCUUGCCCCCAAGGUGGACGGGAUGGACGAUGAAAGCCGUAAGUAUUCUGGAACCCGGCUCUGCUGAGGAGAAGUCCAGGUGUUGAGGAAGGGCGGGGGGUGCUUUCCUGCCCCUUUGGUUGCAGAGACACCCUGAUUCUGGGUUCCUCCUGGGAAAGGGGGUGAAGGAUGGGGUGAAAGAGACUGACUUCCCACAAAAGGGCCAUCCCAAGUCCUCGGGUCCCUGGAGGAAAGGAGGCUCUUUGUAUGGUGGGGGUAGGUGUCCGGGAACAUUGGGG